rnacentral:lncRNA from 1 species
ACACUUUCACGUUCAACAUAAAAAAUAAUCCUGAAAAAUCUGCCUUUGCCUGUUUCAUGUUCUAUUAAUGUCCAAUCAAAACAGAUCACAACAGACUAGUACAGCCACUACAACUGCUAAAACCUAAAGUAGGAAUUGACUACCUGUGCUUUUGCACAGGAAAUAAUUUGGAAAUAAUUUUUAAAGUUUAUAUUUUAAGCUUUAAUCCAUAUAAAUGUUGUAUGAAAUCUUGACCCUGCUUGGGAAUUUGCAUUCAUAAA